UUUGAACGUUCAGAUCCCUAAUUUCUCCCUAAGUUCUGUUGAUCUUGUAGGCAAAACAAAUGAUUAGGCAGCAAUCAUGUAAAUCAUGAUUUCAACUAUCAACACUAUUUGAAUUAUAUGAUGAUCUUGUACAGCUCCUUUAAAGUAUAUGAUGAUCUUGUAUAGAAUCUAAUUUCCUUGUCACACUAGGAAUCCUUCCAUCCCCUUCGUCUAAUUUUACUACUGUCGGUCUACCCUUUACAUAAUUAGGCUUCUUCUUUGUGAAAAAUGAUUGCUCUGUAAGCUUAAGUAGAUCUUCAGUAACAUCAUUGGCAUUACCCUGCGUCUCCGGCUAAUUAGCAGGGGGGUAAAAAUCAAAAACCACAUCCCAAGAAAGAUAAUAUAACCCAUGUCACUUCCGGUGUGCAGUAAGCAGAGACGUCGAUUCCUUAGAUAGCUCAGAUUCAUCUUUGUCAUGGUUGUUAAGAGGGGAACACUGUCAUGCUUAUCAGAAGCAGGCCUUCCUAAGGAGAAAGAAGUCGACACUGGUAACUCUAUAUCACCGCAUAUCUUAUCCAGGUUAUUGAGAUUCUCCUCGAGCAAAGGUCCGUCUGGUAUAGGCCUUCUUGGGCAGUUAGAGAAAUCGGCCCAAGAUCCUCUGAGAAGGCAUCAUGCACCAGCUUGAUAAAAUCAGAAGCUUUUGAUUCUCCCUUCUCAAAGUUUUCUCUCCCCUGGAUAACAGAAUUAGGUAAUUCUCCCUGCAUCAGCUCAAUCAAACCAAGAACGUUGAAAAUAUGUCAUGACACUGCAAGCACUAAUACAACAAUGCUUAAUCAGUCUACCAUAGCUACAAGAGUGCAGCUAGAAGGUAUUCAUAAUAAAAGAAACCUACAUAGCCGGUGUAGCUUUAAGUUUUAAAAAUAAUAGAUAAUUUAUAUUAAAUAACUACCAAUUAAGUACCUGUCAAGAAAAAACUACCAAUUAAGUAAUUUCUAGCUACUAUACAAGUAUUUGUAACUACCAAAGAAGACCUGACUAGUUAUAGUCUUGCACAGAGCACAGUUAUUUAUAAACUAAUUGUAUUUAAGGUUUCUACCAACUCCAUUGACUACUGCAACUUAAUAUACUAUAACUGUAGUAUACUAUACUAUAUAGCAACUUGAUGUUUCAGUUAUCUCAAGACUGAAAGAUAAAUUUAGAUUCUUUACCUAUCAGUUAUAAGUACAUUAAAUAUUCUACUGUUAUUACUUCCCACUUUUCUGCAAUAUAUUAACGGUUUAUUCCGGUCUAUCAAAAAAUAUCGGUGGAUAUAUAGUGUGUUUAUUGUUUUCUAGAUUAGAUGUAUGGUGAUCCCUUUGUAAGUGUUUAAAGAUUUUUGGUUUAACUUCCAAUUAUUUAGAAUUGAUAUAUUCAUAGUCUUAGGAAAAAAGAUUAUAACUCUGGUCUCUGGAUACUGGUCCGUACGACAGACAAAGAAACUACUUUAAGAACGAUGCUGGUGUACUAGAGUAAGGUAGCCAAUCUACAGGAGUUGCUCCCGGCUAUUAUAAAAUUUAUUAACAUCAGUACUUUACAACAAAGUAUAGUAUGUGAUGUAUAUUGGUUAAUAUCUAUAUUCUAUAUGGAUCUGAAAAUAAUGACACCACAUUUACAGAACAAUUAUUGAGAAAAGCUGGUCAACUAUUCUUUCUUAUUAUCUUGGCUAUCCUCAAGACUAGUAAUAAAUACUCCCUCCAUAUCAUAUUAUGUGUCCUCUUUUGACUAUUAGACGGUCAAUAGGACCAAACUUUGACCAUUAAUUAAAGAAAAUUUAUUAAUUAUUUAAAAAUCUGAAAAAUGGAUUUUGAAUGGGAUUAAAUAUAUUUUCAAAGUAAGUAUUCUAAUCUUUUUAAGUCGGAUAAUAUGUGUAAUUUGCGGUCAAAAUCUAGUCAAUUUGACUCUUGAAUAGUCAAAACAAGACACAAAAUAUGAGAUGGAGUAAUAAUUAAAACAAACUACUUUGACUAUUUACAUAUAGCUUGGUAUUAUUACCUUUUUCUUGAUAUCCUGUGAUUGAAACAAAAACACCAACUGAUGCAUCCUGUUCUGUGAUAUAUCUUGGUAUGGUUUCAUCGUUUUGCGUAUUUUGUUAUAUUUUGGAGCACUGCAGAAGCUCUGUUGUUACCCCCAAAGUUUAAAUGGUCAGAGUACCUGUAAGAAAGAACUGCUUAAAAAAUGCCAUUCUCCAUGAGGAAGCAAAUUCUUAGUUCGAUCUCAACAUAUGAGCCUGUGAAAAAAAUUCAUCUCAUAAUUUUUACAUCCAUAUCCAUCUUUGUAAUACCUUCUAUACAUGAAACUGACCCGCAUCUGUUCAAGUCUUCAAGAAGUUGAUCCUUUGAUCAUUUCACCCAGUCCCAUUGGACAGUCUGCAAGAAUGUUCUAACAACAAUUAGAAGACUACAUUUCACUUCAAAGGUAGUGGCAUUCUAAAAGAAAAAAUGUGUAAUCAAAUGUGGUUCAAUGUUUGAUUGAUUAUCCAUAGUUUGCCAAAAAUUUAAAGACCAUAUAACUGCCUAUUUGCCACAAUCUUGUGAACUUUUUGGGAGUUCCAUGCAAUUUUGUGGUUAUUGUCAUAUAGCAACAUAUACAAUUUCAUAUUUACAUAUGCAUAUACUGCUGUAGAAAUAGAAGAGGUGCUAGCAUGGCUGAGUAGGACACUAUAUCAGAGGCGUCGUGUCUGCAAACUUUAAACAAGCAUAAUUAUAAUUGCCUCGCGGGAUCAACAGAAAAUGACAAAAAAUGUACACGAUGUGUUAUCUUGAAACCAGUAAUACAUCUCGGAACUUGUACAACAUAUUAACAUGUAUAUUACCUAUUGCACAAAAAUCUUAUAAUCAAAACAAUUUUUUGUCCAAACAACUAAAUAGAUAAAUGAAACAGAUACUAAAUUAGAAUGUAAUUAUUACAGAAGAACUAACCUGAGCUUAAACAAAAUGAUUCAUGAAGCAGUGUCGUUCAACAGUUUCUGAGCUGCGAAAUGAUGCUUUGAUUACCCACACGGGUCUCCAGUUUAUCAUUAAAUUUUAUUAAAUAUAAGUAUCAAGCUCAGACUUGUACAUGUUAAUAGUAUUUUCUUAUGAUUCAUAACUUACAUAUGCGGUUUUCCCUUACCAUUUAUAUUGCUUGAUAAUUUGGCAGGCAGUGUAAAUAAAUAACCCUACAAUACAGGUCUCUCCAAAUCUUUCACCAUAUUUCAAUUUAAGAAAUUUGUUUGUUACUAAACGAUGUGACAUACUUUAAAGGAAGAUUUGCUCCAUCAGCUUUAUAUUUUACUAUAAGACCUUUAUGAUGAUCCCUUCUGUACUUGGAAGUAUAGAGUCCUUUUAUAACGUUGAUUUUCGAUUCUUGCACCAAGCCUCGUCAGAAUGAAUGGAUGACCGUUAUGGCAAUAAUCAUAAGAUGACAUGUUAUUCUAUGUGAAGCGUCAUUUCAGAAGCUAUCGCAAACUAUCAGUUCAUUUUCAGAAUAUUUUAUGUUGCCUAAAAUUAAAAAAUCUUGACAUUCUUGUAAAGUUAAUUAGGGAUCUCUUUCAACAUUCAACUUAAGCACCAAUGUUUAAGGCUUAUAUUAAAACUUUAAAAUAAUGUUGAGUAAAUAUUUAAAUAAUGAUAAUUAAGUACGAUAAUGAGAUAAUUGAUAACUCAUCCAUUAAUGCUCUCAUUCAUCCCCCGAUUAUCCAGUAAAUUGCUGCUAUAAGGUCCCUUAACCAUCUAGACCUACUGAUUCCAGAAUAUUGAUUAAUAGGUAAAUUAGUGUUAAAAAAUUCAUUUUUUAUUACUGAUUUGUGUUUAGACGUAAACUAAAGUUUUUAUCUUUUCUCUUCAUCCUUUUCUUCCCCAUAAAAAAGUUAAAAUUAACUGUCCACUAAUGAGCCCAAUUAUUGGAUUAAUUUGGGAAGAGGAGAGGGGGGAGUAGAGAAGUAUAAAAUACUAAAAAGUCACAUCAAUAUAUUUAGUAACCCUGCAAAAGCUGUAGGCAAGAUUAGAAAUUAUAAAGAAAAAGUUAACCCUUGAGCUACCAGGCAAUUGUAUCCGUGUCAUCUCCGAGUUCCAAAUUUAAAUUCUAUGGAAGGACAAACUAUGUACAUGAUGUGUUCAAUAAAAUUUACAUUUAUCAAUUGAAAAUCAGGACUUACAUAACAUGUAAAGACCUAUCACGGAGAAAGCUUUGAAUCAAAACAAUUCUUACAAAAACAAGCAAAGAAUAGAAAAAGAACAGAAGACUGGGUAUAUCAUGUUACAGAAGAACUGACCUCUGAAUUCAAACACAAUGAUUUAACAAGCAAAGUAAUUCAACUUUUGUCUGAAGCUGCUCAAAUGAUCUUUUCCAGUAUUUGACACUAUAGAAGGAAAUCAGGUAUUACAGGUGUUUGUGCAACCACUUUUAGGUCUCCAUCCGCUCUAUGUCGAGCCUUGUUCCUUGUGUGGUGGUGACCACUCGUCUGCUUAUCUUCUAGACCAUUCUUAUCUCUGUCCUCGGCAGUCUUAACUGAACUCCGAUGCUUUCUCUCUUUAUGCUUUUUAUUUCUUUUUGGUCUUGAAGAAUCAAGCUCAGACUUAUCCACAGUAGUAUGCUCAUUCAAUUCAAUACUUUGACCAAUAUGUAAUUUCUCCUUCCCCUUUGAAUUGCUUGAUAGCUUGUCAGAUGGUUUUACUUGUGAUGAGUACGGGUUGGUAUCAUUACCCAAAAGAACAUCUUGUACAGCUCCAGAUAUUGCAGUAUUUGCAGAAUCUAAUUUCUUUGUGACACUAGGAAUUCUUCCAUCCGCUUCAUCUAAUUUUACUACUGUCGGUCUAGCCUUUACAUGAUUAGGCUUCUUCUUUGGAAAAAAUGAUUGCUCUGUAAGCUUAACUAGAUCUUCAGUAACAUCAUUAGCAUUACCCUGUGUCUCCGGCUCAUUAGCAAGGGGGUAAUAAUCAGAAACCACUUCCUUCUUAUCCGAAGAAAGAUAAUAUAACCCAUGUCGCUUUCGGUGUUCAGUAAGCAGAGACGUUGAUUCCUUAGAUAGCUCGGAUUCAUCUUUGUCAUGGUUGUUAAAGAGGGGAACACUAUCAUGCUUAUCGGAAACAGGCCUUCCUAAGGAGAAAGAAGUCGACACUGGUAACUCUAUAUCACCGCAUAUCUUAUCCAGGUUGUUGAGAUUCUCCUCGAGCAAAAGUCCAUCUGGUAUAGGUACCCUUUCUUGGGCACUAAGGGAAAUCGGCCCAAGAUCUUCUGAGAAGGCAUCAUGCACCAGCUUGAUAAAAUCAGAAGCUUUUGAUUCUCCCUUCUCAAAGUUUU
rnacentral:lncRNA from 1 species